rnacentral:tRNA from 1 species
GCUGGGGCUCUGUGGUAGAGCACUUGCCUUGCACACGUGAGGCACUGGGUUCGAAUCUCAGCACCGCA